GUAGUCUCGCACAGAUGCAUAUCAAUAAGCGGAGGAAAAGAAACUAACAAGGAUUCCCUUAGUAACGGCGAGUGAAGCGGGAAGAGCUCAAAUUUGAAAUCUUCAAGGUUUUACCUUGACGAAUUGUAGUUUAAAGAAGUGUUUUCUGUUGAAGUUUUGGUAAAAGUUCUUUGGAAUAGGACAUCAUAGAGGGUGAGAAUCCCGUAUUUGACCAUUAUUUUCAGCUGUGUGAUACACUUUCAAAGAGUCGGAUUGUUUGGGAAUGCAGUCCAAAAUGGGUGGUAAAUUUCAUCUAAAGCUAAAUAUUGGCGAGAGACCGAUAGCGAACAAGUACCGUGAGGGAAAGAUGAAAAGAACUUUGAAAAGAGAGUUAAACAGUACGUGAAAUUGUCAAAAGGGAAGCGCUUUGACACCAGUGUUGUUUUCUCGAAAAUCAAUUAAAAAGAGUUAGAUUUUGUUGUGUAUUGACCUUAACAGCUUGCAUUUCAAUUUUCUUGCUUUUUUUAAUGCACUUUUCGUUUAACAAGUCAACAUCAGUUUCUUUUGUUGUAAAAAGGUCAUUGGAAGGUGGCUUUCUUUUCGGAGAAAGUGUUUAUAGCCUUUGACUCCUGCAAUCGGAGAGACUGAGGUCUGCAGCGUAGAUCCUUCGGGGUUAGAUACAUUUGUGCUAAGUUAUAGCUUUUUAUAGACAACUUGUUGACUAUGAUUAGUCUUGUAGCUUACUCACUUAUGCUAUUUUACCUACGCUUAGGAUGUUGAAGAUGUAGCACAUCAU
rnacentral:rRNA from 1 species